AUUUUUACUCCAUUCUGCUCGCAUCGGGAAACGAUGAUCAUUGAAAUAAUAUAAGUUUAAUUGCUUUUCAAAUACAAAAGUAAGUCGUUAGGAAGUGAUUGAAAUAUGGAAACAGUAUAUUGGACUUGGUAUUGAACGAAAAUCUGUUGUAGAGAGACAAAUGACGAGAAAGAUGCCAUGGAGCCGCAAAAUGCUUCGUUCAUAACUACGAGGAACUGGCAUAGUAAAUAAAAUUGUCCAGAUGCGAAAUUGUACCCGUGUAAUCGACCCGGUCCGAACUCUUUCCAAUAAGAUUUCAGACUUCUUUGCAGAUCUAAACUACCAAGAUCGUGCAUAUACUUGUCGGAUUGUGGAUGAGUAUGCUUGUGUGGUACCGUCAAAGAUCAACCAGGAGCAGGAAGCAGGAAAAAUGAAACCGCGCUGGCCAAUUUUGCUACAGAACAAAACUGACGGGAUCAUGCUUCCUCCUACUAUUUGAUGGAGUCCCCUAAAAGAGCAAUCAAGCGGAGUGGGAUUAACGGAAGUGGUUGCGAAGCAAUGGUCACACGCGAGAAGUCGAACAAUACACGGCCUGAUCAACAUCUUAUGGGUGCCAUCAAAGAAAGCAAAACGUAUGUAACUAAAAAUUAAUCCAUCUUAAAAUCCUAAAAUCUUAAAAUCUUAAAAUCUUAAAAUCUUAAAAUCUUAAAAUCUUAAAAUCUUAAAAUCUUAAAAUCCUAAAAUCUUAAAAUCUUAAAAUCUUAAAAUCUUAAAAUCCUAAAAUCUUAAAAUCUUAAAA